UCUGUGUGCAUCUGUUUGUGUGUAUGUGCGAAUGUAUGGGCUUGUGUAUGCACACGGAAGCCAGACAGCAAG
rnacentral:miRNA from 1 species